ACCAGGAACCGAUGAAGGACGUGGGAGGCCACGAUAGGCCCCGGGGAGUCGUCAACCAGGCUUUGAUCCGGGGGUGUCCGAAUGGGGAAACCCGGCAGUCGUCAUGGGCUGUCACCCGCUGCUGAACACAUAGGCAGUGUGGAGGGAACGCGGGGAAGUGAAACAUCUCAGUACCCGCAGGAAGAGAAAACAACCGUGAUUCCGGGAGUAGUGGCGAGCGAAACCGGAUGAGGCCAAACCGUAUGCGUGUGAGACCCGGCAGGGGUUGCGCAUGCGGGGUUGUGGGAUCUCUUGUUCAUGGUCUGCCGGCCGUGAGGCGAGUGAGAAACCGUUGAUGUAGGCGAAGGACAUGCGAAAGGUCCGGCGUAGAGGGUAAGACCCCCGUAGUCGAAACGUCAGCGGCUCGUUGGAGAGACACCCAAGUAGCACGGGGCCCGAGAAAUCCCGUGUGAAUCUGGCGGGACCACCCGCUAAGCCUAAAUAUUCCCUGGUGACCGAUAGCGGAUAGUACCGUGAGGGAAUGGUGAAAAGUACCCCGGGAGGGGAGUGAAAUAGUACCUGAAACCGUGUGCCUACAAGCCGUGGGAGCGUCGGAAGCAAGCUUGCUUGCUUCUCGUGACUGCGUGCCUUUUGAAGAAUGAGCCUGCGAGUUUGCGGUGUGUUGCGAGGUUAACCCGAGUGGGGUAGCCGUAGCGAAAGCGAGUCCGAACAGGGCGGUGGAGUAGCACGCUCAAGACCCGAAGCGGAGUGAUCUAGCCAUGGGCAGGUUGAAGCGGCUGUAAGAGGUCGUGGAGGACCGAACCCACCAGGGUUGAAAACCUGGGGGAUGACCUGUGGUUAGGGGUGAAAGGCCAAUCAAACUCCGUGAUAGCUGGUUCUCCCCGAAAUGCAUUUAGGUGCAGCGUCGUGUGUUUCUUGCCGGAGGUAGAGCACUGGAUAGGCGAUGGGCCCUACCGGGUUACUGACCUUAGCCAAACUCCGAAUGCCGGUAAGUGAGAGCGCGGCAGUGAGACUGUGGGGGAUAAGCUCCAUGGUCGAGAGGGAAACAGCCCAGAGCAUCGACUAAGGCCCCUAAGCGUACGCUAAGUGGGAAAGGAUGUGGAGUCGCAGAGACAACCAGGAGGUUGGCUUAGAAGCAGCCACCCUUGAAAGAGUGCGUAAUAGCUCACUGGUCUAGUGAUUCCGCGCCGACAAUGUAGCGGGGCUCAAGCGUACCGCCGAAGUCGUGUCAUUGCAGCAACACUCCCAACGGAGGCUGUGAUGGGUAGGGGAGCGUCGUCUGCCGGGUGAAGCAGCCGCGUAAGCGAGUUGUGGACGGUUGACGAGUGAGAAUGCAGGCAUGAGUAGCGAUUCACACGUGAGAAACGUGUGCGCCGAUUGACUAAGGGUUCCUGGGUCAAGCUGAUCUGCCCAGGGUAAGUCGGGACCUAAGGCGAGGCCGACAGGCGUAGUCGAUGGAUAACCGGUUGAUAUUCCGGUACCCGCUGUGAAGCGUCAAACAUCGA
rnacentral:rRNA from 1 species